UAUAUAUCCCAAUGCUAAGAUGAUAUUCCAUCUGAUUAUAUAUAACUAGUUAGAAUAUAUAUGUUAUUUAAAAAAAAAACAAAACAAAACAGAACGUGAUUUUAGAAUAUUGUGUUUGCAUAUAAAAUAGUUAUAUACUUAAAAGGAUAUCUCUGCAAGUUGUUUUGACUUCCACGAGGUCCUUUGGUGAUUACAACUAAAGAUAUUACAUAUAUUAAAAACAACUUUUGGGAAAGGGAAUAGAUAUUUAGAAAAGACACAGUAUGUAAAGUGGGGAUAGAGAAAGAAAAAAAAAAGAUUUUGAGAGGAGCAGAGAGUAGGGACAGCGUGAAGACUUCACAGUGUUAGAAGAAGAGAAGGAAGUAGGAUCAGAAAUCUGCAUGCAGUGGAGGUCCUGCAAGGGCGCAUCUUUGGAGAAGUAAGGUAAGGAAGUCUUGAUCUCUACUGUGUCUUCUGCCAUAGGGGAAGGGAAAAAUGGGUUAGGAAGGAAGUAUUGAGAAAUUAAGUAUCUCUUCUUUUGCAUGUUAAAAUUUUAUAUAAGAAUUGAUAGCUUAUGUGUUAGAAAUUUGGGUAUGUCACAGAGAAGAGGAAAAGCUCAGACAUUCAUAUUAUGAACUUUUGGAACAUAGGAAAUUUGGGUAAGAGCUCUUAGUUGUGUGUUGUACUUUUCUUGGGCAUUUCUGUGAUUGAGGUUAGUUAGGAAAAUUUUAAGAUCAUUAGAAACUACAUUGUAGAGGUGGAAAAGCUGAGUGAAAGUCUAAGUUAAAAGACUGAGGUAAUCUGUAAAACAAUUUAGGUUUGGAAAUUGAUUUAAUUUUGAAGCUAUCCCUUAGAGCACUAAUUUAAUAUUUUAUUUUUACUCUAGAUCUUACAAAUUUGGCUCAUUAGCAUCAGAGGACAACUUCUGUUUCAGCUGCUCAAGAAGUCAGUAAUCAGGCUCGUGUUGAACCAACCACAUCCUCUAGACAGUCGACUUAGGAUCCUUCAUGAGGCCCUUCUGCUAAAAUGGCUACUAGUGUUGUUGUGUCUGACCCAUGUUAUUGAGUUAAAACUUGUUUUGUAAAUGUCACUUUAACUUGUGCGUUGUUUUUACGUAGUGGCUCUAAUAUGUGGUCUACUAGAACCUUUAUUAUAUAGCCUUGGUCCUAUAUAGCUUUGGGAGGCUUUGUUUUGAACUUGCUGCUAUCAUUUUGUUAUUACAGGCUCUUAUAAUAUUUUGGAUAGUUCAUAUUUUAGGGGAGACCCUGCCGAAUUUUCUAUAGAAAAUUCCUUGAAGCAUAAAUAUGUCA